GACGAACGCUGGCGGCGUGCCUAAUACAUGCAAGUAGGACGCAGUUGCGAACGGGUGAGUAACGCGUAGGUAACUACCUAUUAGAGGGGGAUAACUAUUGGAAACGAUAGCUAAUACCGCAUACUAGUCGAUUGACCUGCGUUGUAUUAGGUAGUAGGUAGGGUAAUGGCCUACCUAGGCAAAGAUACAGAGCCGAGCUGAGAGGGGGAACGGCCAAACUGGGAAGUAGAAAAGGCCCCGACUCCGAAGGGAGGGAGCAGUAGGGAAACUUCGGAAAUGGGGGGAACCCUGAACGAGCAAAGCCGCGGGAGUGAAGAAGGUUUUCGGAUCGUAAAGCUCUGUUGGUAAGGAAGCGGUAUUUGACCAGAAAGGGACGGCUAACUACGUGCCAGCAGCCGCGGUAAUUC
rnacentral:rRNA from 1 species